GACGUAGGGCGCGAGCGUUGUCCGGAUUUAUUGGGCGUAAAGAGCUCGUAGGCGGCUUGUCGCGUCGUCUGUGAAAUCCCACGGCUCAACUGUGGGCUUGCAGUCGAUACGGGCAGGCUGGAGUUCGGUAGGGGAGACUGGAAUUCCUGGUGUAGCGGUGAAAUGCGCAGAUAUCAGGAGGAACACCCGUAGCGAAGGCGGCACUCUGGGCCGAUACUGACACUGAGGAGCGAAAGCGUGGGGAGCGAACAGG
rnacentral:rRNA from 1 species